AGAAGGUAAUUGAGUACCACCAAAAUCACCAAGGAGAAAUCCUUUGUAUUCCGUAUCUUCUUUUGAAAUCUCCCCCUGCAAAUAGAAAUGUGGAGGUUAAAAGAAUGAUUCAGUUUUACUAAAGAUGACAUCCAUGGAGAUAAACAUCUUCUGGAUUGAAGGAUGAUAAUAUUUGUAGCUCUUUUUGGUAUUUGAGUACCACAUAGACAUACACUUUAAAGCUUUAGGAUUGAGUUUGCCCCUAUUUUGUUGGUGAACAUGGACAUAGGAGAUAUAUUUGAAUACUGUAAGCGGUAGGUUAUUGAAAA
rnacentral:lncRNA from 1 species